CAUCCGAAGACGGAGCUGCCCUGCUGAGUAAGCUUCAGUGCAAUGGGACAGAGACAUCAUUGUCGGAGUGUUCGUUCACUGUUUCGAAACAGGAGGACUGCCAAUCUGGGACGAUCGGGUUCAUCUUUUGUAAAGAUGGGCAACUCUUAAUGCUGUCAGGUGGAGGCAGCCCUUGUGCAGGGCGAGUGGAGGUAAGCAACUACUUACAGUCUUUCUUGAUCAUCUGUGGUCGUAAUUGGGGUAUGAACGAAGCCCAGGCUGUGUGCAACUUCGCCGGCUGUGGUGACGCCGUAUCUGCAUCAAGGAAUUCACAAUUUGGACAUGGGCAAUGGCCCAUUCUGCAAGCUGAAAUUUAUUGUAAUGGCACAGAGUUCGACCUAUGGAGGUGUGAAAGGAGACUCUUAGCUCACAGUAACUGCUUUGUGGAAAACGAGACAGCCGGCGUUAUUUGUUCGGGACAUAGAAAGCCCAGACUGAUUGAUGGAUACGACAAAUGCUCUGGAAGAUUGGAGAUACAGCAUGGAGAGACGUGGGGCACUGUGUGCGAUUCGAAUUGGGAUUUCCAGGACGCACGCGUGGUGUGUAG